rnacentral:rRNA from 1 species
AGGUCCAGCCUGCCCAGUGACUCUGUUCAACGGCCGCGGUAUCCUAACCGUGCGAAGGUAGCGUAAUCACUUGUUCUUUAAAUGAGGACUAGUAUGAAUGGCACCACGAAGGUUAUACUGUCUCCUUUUUCUAAUCAGUGAAACUAAUCUUCCCGUGAAGAAACGGGAAUAAAAAUAUAAGACGAGAAGACCCUAUGGAGCUUUAAACAAAUAUACACCUGCCUCUUUACCAAAAAUUUCAGAAGACAAGUAAUUACCCGGGCAUUUUGAUAUAGCGUUUUAGGUUGGGGUGACCGCGGAGCAAAAAAUAACCUCCGCAGCGAACGGGAGUAUCCCCUAAACCAAGGGCCACAACCCUAAGUAUUAAUAAAUUAACACUAAUUGACCCA